CGGUGCGGGAGGAGGACUGCGCAGGCGCAGUGGGCCAGGCGGCCCGGCGACCAAUCGGUGCGCGCGCUCGCACCCUGCCGCGGCGGCCGGGCUGCUGUUUCCACCACCACUCCUGGCCCGGGGUCGCAGAUUCAAAUUUUACUGCACUGCCCCUGUCGCAGAAGUUCCUGGGGAGGCAGGGCGGCAGCUCCCACCCGCCAUCCCAAGCCGCCGAAGAAUUCCCCAGAGCUAAGGCAGACGCACUUAGCUUUCUUUUCUUUGAGGGAGAAGGGGUUUGCUUUAACUACUUAAUGUCGUUUGUUUAAAUAAAUCACUAGGCUGGUCCCGUUGCGGUGGUGUUUGCAGCUAAUUGGUCACAGCCAGAGAUUUGUUUCUUCUCCACUCGCACUGUGUCACUUGACUAGCUUUAAAAUUAAAAACAGAAAGUACUAUAUUCCUAAAAGGAAGUGUUGCUUUCAUUUUUGUCUGGGGGUGGAGGGAAUCAUUCCUGGCCCAUCUUUUUAGAGCGCGUUGCCAGAAAAAAGUAAGAUUUCAAUGAAGGGUAGCUCUUUCCUGAGAGAGUGGGAUGUGGGGAAACAGGAAUAAGAAAGAAAAAGGAAAAUUUUCCUAAGGAAUGAAGAAAGUUGCUGAAGAAAUGUGGAACAGUAGGGUGAGGAGGGGGAAGAGCCCUCAGCCCCCAUCACACAGCAUCUCUGUCACUCCAGCGGCCCAGUACCUUGCAUCCAGCCCGCACCCUCGCCGCCCCCACGAAGUUCAGCGAAUUCCCGCCACUUUCCCUGCAAUGAACAUACGGAACCCAUCAAUCCCAGUGCUGGAGGAAUGACUGACCUGGAGCCUAAAGAUGGUCUUUAUAAAAGGCCUAGGUAAAUUUGUUCAUUUCAUAUCCAAGGAAGACCA
rnacentral:lncRNA from 10 species